UGGACCUGCGGAAGGAUCAUUACCGAGUUCAUGCCCUUCGGGGUAGAUCUCCCACCCUUUGUAUACUAUACCUUUGUUGCUUUGGCGGGCCGCCUAGCUACUGGCUUCGGCUGGUAAGUGCCCGCCAGAGAACCCAAAACCCUGAAUUAUUAGUGUCGUCUGAGUAAAAUAUUUAAUAUUUAAAACUUUCAACAACGGAUCUCUUGGCUCUGGCAUCGAUGAAGAACGCAGCGAAAUGCGAUAAGUAAUGUGAAUUGCAGAAUUCAGUGAAUCAUCGAAUCUUUGAACGCACAUUGCGCCCGCCAGUAUUCUGGCGGGCAUGCCUGUCCGAGCGUCAUUUCAACCCUCAAGCCCCCGGGCUUGGUGUUGGAGAUCGGCGAGCCCUCCGGGGCGCGCCGUCUCCCAAAUAUAGUGGCGGUCCCGCUGUAGCUUCCUCUGCGUAGUAGCACACCUCGCACUGGGAAACAGCGUGGCCACGCCGUAAAACCCCCCACUUCUGAAAGGUUGACCUCGGAUCAGGUAGGAAUACCCGCUGA
rnacentral:rRNA from 1 species